rnacentral:tRNA from 1 species
GGCUGAUAAGCUUUAAAAGCAUAUGUUUUGAAAACAUAAGAUAGAAUUUUAUAUAUUCUAUCAGCUU